rnacentral:rRNA from 1 species
UAGGGAAUCUUCGGCAAUGGACGAAAGUCUGACCGAGCAACGCCGCGUGAGUGAAGAAGGUUUUCGGAUCGUAAAACUCUGUUGUUAGAGAAGAACAAGGACGUUAGUAACUGAACGUCCCCUGACGGUAUCUAACCAGAAAGCCACGGCUAACUACGUGCCAGCAGCCGCGGUAAUACGUAGGUGGCAAGCGUUGUCCGGAUUUAUUGGGCGUAAAGCGAGCGCAGGCGGUUUCUUAAGUCUGAUGUGAAAGCCCCCGGCUCAACCGGGGAAGGUGAUUGGAAACUGGGAGACUUGAGUGCAGAAGAGGGGAGUGGAAUUCCAUGUGUAGCGGUGAAAUGCGUAGAUAUAUGGAGGAAAACGAGUGGCGAAGGCGGCUCUCUGGUCUGUAACUGACGCUGAGGCUCGAAGGCGUGGGGAGCAAACAGG